GAUGCUUUCAAUCAGAUGUAUAGAAGCAUGUAGAAUGACCUGAACAGACAAGAUAUGCAUUCAACACUACAAAGGAAACAUUCUUUUGAUGAUCAUCAUGGGUUUGUUGAUGAGAAGAAUGAUUUGGGUUUCUUUCCAUCUUCUAAACUUGUGAAGAAGGAUUCUGAUUCUCAGUUCAUCUACAGUCCUCUCCCUUCAAAAAGGGCUAGAAUAGAGACCA